CAGGAGUCAGCUGUUCCAUGAAGGGGGGGCGGAGUCGUACAACGGUCCGAUUGUGCUGCUCACAUGUGCCACGCACGACGGCGUCCUGCUGAACACCUCCAGGCACACAGAGCUGAUUGUUUUGGACACCAGGGUUCAUCCAGUUGGCCACCAGGACCAGCUCUGCCCCCACCUCGGUGCCCCCCCUGGUCUCAUCUGAAGACGGCAACGUCAGAGCAGAGACGCCGUAAUACGUGAAGGCCCCGUUUUCAAACUUCAGCCCCUCUUUGCCGAUCUCCACCUCCACACGGCCCUGAGAAACCAGACAACAACUUGACAGAACUUGAGGUUGCGGGUGUACAAGUAGUGGCUUGGACUCAGACGGCUGCUGUGGUCGAAGUGGACCUCCUGGUUGACGCUGGGGUGGCGCAGCAGGUGGAACAGAACCUUCUCAGACACUCGGAUCGGGCUGAAGUGUUCCACUUCUGCAGAGUCCAACAUCAAAGACACAAGAAGACUUAAAAACAACCAAAUCAGACCCAAGUCCACUGUACUAAUGUGUGUUGCACUAUGAAAUAUAGACCUAAAAACGACUCCUGUACUGCUGCCGUCAU